UAUGUUUUAGUAUAAGAAAGUACAUAAGUUUUUGAAACUUAAAGAAAUAAAUUAGUUUUGUUAGACAUAA
rnacentral:tRNA from 1 species